GCAUCGGUGGCGGAAUGGAAGACGCGUACGUUUGAGGGGCGUAUAGCAAUUGCUGUGUGGGUUCAAGUCCCAUCCGAUGCACCA
rnacentral:tRNA from 1 species